UUUUGGUAUAGUAAUUGUGACUUAUUCACACUAUAUACAUUUGGCUUCCGCAACAGUUACAAAUACAAUAUUCCGAUUAUUUAUAUAGGUUUCAUUUCAGGGAAAAAUGAUUCUGCGAGGUAACACGCGAAGUUGCCAAGGUGAAUAUGCAUACUCGAAAAACGAUGAGGAUGAAAAGGAUGACAGCAAUAAUUGAAUCAUCUAUUUUGUGCAAGUUGGAGGCCACCUUAGUUGAUGCAACAGUAGCAAUAUGUUUGAUAAUUUUGGUUCAAUGUGAUGGGGUCUUGAAAAGCUGAUUGCAAUAGCGAAAGACAAUAUACGCUUCCUUGGAAAUGUGCCGCAACAGAAAAAGCACGAAAUUUGCAAGAAUCUUAAUGUUAAGUUGCGUGACCAACUCAUUUGAGGCUAUGACUGGAUCUGUAGAUUGAGUCAUCUAGCUCUUCCGAUAGAGGAAUCAAAUCAAGCACAAGUAGUAUCACUAGAAAUUUCCGAUAAAUAUUGAGUGGUUUGACUAAGCAUAUUCAGUACUACUGGAAGACACCUUCAAGAAUACUCUUUCUUUUUGGGAAACAAUGGCAUUUCUAAACUGCUUAUUUCUGCCUUUUUUUUGGUAUUUACUGCAGUAAAUAUUCAAUUUUGGGGUUUUUAGGAGAUGGGUGAGAAUGUAUAAUCAGUCAAUGUGUUGCUUCUGCCGUCUAAUUUUAUAAACAAGAAAAAAUCAUUUUUAUCUGAA